rnacentral:piRNA from 1 species
UUCGUUGGUUUAUUACUUUGA